UCCGUUAUGGUGUAUCGGCUAGCAUCGCCCGCGUCAGUUUACCUCUCCCGUCUUUUACUCCAACAAUUGACUAACGUCCAAUCAGUUUCAUUCAGAAAGCUCGUGCCGGGCAGAGCCGGGUUCGACUCCCGGUAACGGAA